GGCGAACGCUGGCGGCGUGCCUAAUACAUGCAAGUCGAGCGGACCGGAUUGGGGCUUGCCUUGAUUCGGUCAGCGGCGGACGGGUGAGUAACACGUGGGCAACCUGCCCGCAAGACCGGGAUAACUCCGGGAAACCGGAGCUAAUACCGGAUAACACCGAAGACCGCAUGGUCUUCGGUUGAAAGGCGGCCUUUGGGCUGUCACUUGCGGAUGGGCCCGCGGCGCAUUAGCUAGUUGGUGAGGUAACGGCUCACCAAGGCGACGAUGCGUAGCCGGCCUGAGAGGGUGACCGGCCACACUGGGACUGAGACACGGCCCAGACUCCUACGGGAGGCAGCAGUAGGGAAUCUUCCGCAAUGGGCGAAAGCCUGACGGAGCGACGCCGCGUGAGCGAAGAAGGCCUUCGGGUCGUAAAGCUCUGUUGUGAGGGACGAAGGAGCGUCGUUCGAAGAGGGCGGGGCGGUGACGGUACCUCACGAGAAAGCCCCGGCUAACUACGUG
rnacentral:rRNA from 1 species